GCCUAGUAAGCUUGAAAGAUAGCGUCUGCCUUGUAAGCACUAUGUGGCGGGUUCGAUUCCCGUCCGGGGCA
rfam:Asian citrus Psyllid, Diaphorina citri - Florida Strain, whole genome shotgun sequence.